rnacentral:rRNA from 1 species
UACGGAGGGUGCAAGCGUUAAUCGGAAUUACUGGGCGUAAAGCGCACGCAGGUGGCUGAGUCAGUCGAUUGUGAAAGCCCUGGGCUUAACCUGGGAAUUGCAGUCGAUACUACUCAGCUAGAGUAUGGGAGAGGGUAGUGGAACUCCCGGUGUAGCGGUGAAAUGCGUAGAUAUCGGGAGGAACAUCAGUGGCGAAGGCGGCUACCUGGCCCAAUACUGACACUCAGGUGCGACAGCGUGGGGAGCAAACAGG